UUCAAGCCUGUAGUGCACUAUGAUCAUGCCUGUGGAUAGCCAGCCUGGCAACAUAGCAAGAUCUUAUCACUACAAAACAAACAAAAAGAGGUUAGAAAAGGAACACAAAAUGUGAUGGUUAAUACUGAGUGUCAACUUGAUUGGAUCGAAGCAUACAAAGUAUUGUUCCUGAGUGUGUCUUUGGGAGUGUUGCCAAAGGAGAUUAACAUUUGAGUCAGUGGACUGGGAGAGGCUGACCCACCCUCAGUCUGGGUGGGCACCAUCUAAUCAGCUGCCAGCAUAAAAACAGAAAUGGAAAGAGCAGACUUGCUGAGUCUUCUGGCCUCCAUCUUUCUCCCGUGCUGGAUAUUUCUGCCCUCAAACAGCAGACUCCAAGUUCUUCAGCUUUUGGACUCUUGGACCUAUACCAGUGGUUCACCAAGGGCUCUUCAGCCUUCAGUCACAGACUGGAGGCUGCACUGUCAGCUUCUCUACUUUUGAGGUUUUGGGACUCAAACUGGCUUCCUUGCUCUUCAGCUUGCAAACAGCCUGUUGUGGGACUUCACCUUGUGACCGUUCAUCUUCUUAGAGAAUAAAUAAGAAAAACGUAUGGAAUGAUAUUGUGGUUAAUACAAUGUAAGAGAUCACACGACAGACUCCAAAGAAGGCAUAGACUGAUAAUAUAAACAAUAAGUGCUGGAAGAGUUGAAGAGGUAGCUGUAUCCCUUGGAGGAGGUGUUCAGAUGAUACGUCAAGUAGAAACUUGGACCUUGAAAGAUGAAUGUAAAGAGGAGUGGGAAAUACAUUGAUAGUGGGGAAAAAACUGGUGAAAACAAAAUCAAAAACAGAAAUGUGUACACUAUGCACAGCAGAGACUGCUCCAUGCUUCUGACUCUCUAGAGAAAGUAUCCACAUGGGAACAUCACGAAAUAUAAACUUGGAAAGGUCAUUUGUGGCAUCUGUGGAAUUACUGGAUAUUUUUUAAUGCUAGAGUCUAGGUCCAGUGUCUGUCCCAUAAAUGCUGGAAACAACUCAUUAUUUGAACAGUUAAGUGGUAAGAUUAAAAAGCUGUAACAGCAAGGUGCACUGGUAGUUUAAUGUAAGACGUAUUGAGGAGAGGAAGUCUAGAGGGAGAAAGGCUAAACUUGUUGAAAUACCAUAACCAAGGUGGAAGUAGUUGGCAUAAAAGAGAAGGUUAUAUGUGGCAUGUAUUAUGAAAUAUGAUGAGAUAUUAAGAGUGAACAUGGAUUGUAGAUAGAGAUUAAUGGUAAGGGAAAGGAUUAAACAAAAAAAAUACAUGACAACUAGGUAGACUAUAAGAAAACAGAAGGUGAGAAAUCAGGUAGAAGAAAUGAUUUGUGUAGAUCAAAUGAUAAAUUACAGAUACUAAAUUAUUAUUGGCAAUGAAAUCUCCAAGUGGCCAUUUGUUGUAAAAGAAGUUCAUAUAAGAUGGGACUUUGAGGGUGAAGUCAGCGGUGGAGAUCAUUGAGUUUAUUGAGACUAACUUUGUGACUUAUGCACUGGUCAGAUUUUGUGAAAGUCCCAUAUGUCUUGAAAACUAAUCAGUGCUAUAUAAAGGUAAAGUGAAUUUUUCUUUAUGUUUAUUUUAAAUCAAGAGUAUUAAUUAUGUCGUCCAAUACUUCUAUAUUUUCACUAGUUUUGUUGUUGCUUGACUUGUCAAGCUUCUGAGAGAGAAAUAUUAAAAUCUUUUUUGGAAGGGAUAAAGAUUCCACCAUGCAUGUUUAAAAAUAAUUUGUAUUCUUUAAAACUGGCAUGUAAACUUGGUAUAUUUCCUUUAAAUAAAUGUUAAUCAUUAUGUUGUUUACAAAUCUGUAUUUUUAUUACUGUUUUACUGCUUAUCCUGCCAACUUUCUGAAUUAUGUCAGUAUCUCCACUGAUUUUGUGUGUUCCAAUUUUUAAAUAUAAUUUUCUCAAACUUUUUUGUA
rnacentral:lncRNA from 10 species